rnacentral:lncRNA from 1 species
AUCUUCUUCCUGCCCUCGCCGUGGCGGGCGACGGUUUCUCGCGCCGUGGCUGGCUCGGCCGGCCGGGGCACCGCGCCGGGCUCCAUGCAGCCGGGCUGCGCGGUCCCGCAGAGCGGGCGCCUCCGGGGCUCGAGUCGGGGACCCGGCAGGAGCGGGCCGGGGAUGGCGGCGGCGGGCGGCGGGUCGGCCGUGGAGCCCCGGAGAGGCGGCCGCCACCACCGCUGCCCGCAGUCUGCGAGGUGUCCGGCGGUCCGCUCAGGGCCUCUUUUGCAGACUCGGUGCCCGGAGUGCGCCGGCGCCGCCCGCCAGGUCUUGGCACUGCUGGCGCGGCCGCGGCGGCGGGGGCCCGGCUCCAGAUCACCGACCCCCACGAGCGCCGGCCCUGCCUGCCCGCUAUUUUGGUUCCAUCUCUUCUGCAUAUUUAUGCUUGCCUGUUACAUUCCCUGGCCUCUGAGUGUCCUUUGGCAGUUUCCAAAGCAUUUGGGCAAGAAGGAGCUUGGGCAGCUUCACAACAGGUUUAUUGGGCACUUCCUAGCACCAGGCACUGCAAUAAGAAAUGGAGGUUAAACCAUGAAGAAACAUGGCUCUAGCCCUUAGGGAGCUCCCGGUCCUGCAGACCCCACAUAUAGGAACCAUCGGAUCCCUGUGUACAGAUGAAGAACUGAGUCUUGGAAAGCUUAACUACCUUGCUCACAGUCACACGUUAAGGUCUAAAGUGAGAAAUUAAACCAAGUCUUCCAAUCUCAAAGACUUUAAAGGAAAAGCUACAAGCUACAAGAAUAAAGAAGUUCUUCAUGUAUAUUUAUGGGAAAAUUGCUAAGGUGUAGUCUCAAGUCCUAAAAAAGCAAAGUUCA